UGCAAAGAACUUUGAAGAGAGGGUUAAAAAGGGCGUGAAACCGCUAGGAAGGAAGCCGAUAGAGUUGACGCAACCAGGCGGCAUUCAGGCGGUCAGUUCGGCGGGCUGGCACGUUUAGUACUCGAUGAGGGUGCGUGUGCCUGGUGCUGGCGAACUGGCUACCGCAUUUGCCGUCAGUAUGCGCCGAGGGUCGUGCCGGCUGCGGACGAGCCACGCGCAGAGGUCGGCCUCAGGGUGGAAACCUGCGCAUGGGUAAGCCGCUUGCAAGUGCGAUUAGGUGACUGCUGAUGUCUCCGCCUGUGUGCGGCGCAGCGUUGGUUAUGGUCAGUAACUGUGUGGGCGGUCGCGUGCGAUCUGUUUGCGCUUUUGUUGGUCGUGCUAUCGCAAUGCGUCGAGAUAAGGUCUCGGUGUGCAAGUCGACCACCUAUCGGACCCGUCUUGAAACACGGACCAAGAAGUUUAACAUAUGCGCGAGUCAUUGGGUGCGAAACCCAAAGGCGUAAUGAAAGUGAAGCUCUGGUGAGCGAUCUGGGAGCCGUUGCGGAGUUUGCCGUGCGGCGAACCAUGGCCUCGUCCCGACUGCUCGCAGUGGGGCGGUGGUAGAGCGCAUAUGCUGAGACCCGAAAGAUGGUGAACUAUGCCCGAGCAGGGUGAAGCCAGAGGAAACUCUGGUGGAGGUCCGAAGCGGUUCUGACGUGCAAAUCGAUCGUCUGACUCAGGUAUAGGGGCGAAAGACUAAUCGAACUAUC
rnacentral:rRNA from 1 species